ACGCUCGACACCUACGGGAGCAGCAGUGGGGAAUAUUGGGCAAUGGGCGCAAGCCUGACCCAGCAACGCCGCGUGAAGGAAGAAGGCUUUCGGGUUGUAAACUUCUUUUGUCAGGGAACAGUAGAAGAGGGUACCUGACGAAUAAGCCACGGCUAACUACGUACCAGCAGCCGCGGUAAUCUGAGCGGGCGUGGCAAGGC
rnacentral:rRNA from 1 species